rnacentral:rRNA from 1 species
CCUACGGGAGGCUGCAGUGGGGAAUAUUGGACAAUGGGGGGAACCCUGAUCCAGCCAUGCCGCGUGUGUGAAGAAGGCCCUCGGGUUGUAAAGCACUUUCAGUGAGGAAGAACGCCUGGUGGUUAAUACCCAUCAGGAAAGACAUCACUCACAGAAGAAGCACCGGCUAACUCCGUGCCAGCAGCCGCGGUAAUACGGAGGGUGCGAGCGUUAAUCGGAAUUACUGGGCGUAAAGCGCGCGUAGGUGGCUUGAUAAGCCGGUUGUGAAAGCCCCGGGCUCAACCUGGGAACGGCAUCCGGAACUGUCAAGCUAGAGUGCAGGAGAGCAAGGUAGAAUUCCCGGUGUAGCGGUGAAAUGCGUAGAGAUCGGGAGGAAUACCAGUGGCGAAGGCGGCCUUCUGGACUGACACUGACACUGAGGUGCGAAAGCGUGGGUAGCAAACAGGAUUAGAUACCCCUGUAGUC